UUCGCCCUUAGAGUUUGAUCCUGGCUCAGGAUGAACGCUGGCGGCGUGCUUAACACAUGCAAGUCGAGCGAAGCACCUACUUUGGAUUUCUUCGGAAUGACGAGGUUUGUGACUGAGCGGCGGACGGGUGAGUAACGCGUGGGCAACCUGCCUCACACAGGGGGAUAACAGUUAGAAAUGACUGCUAAUACCGCAUAAGCGCACAGGACCGCAUGGUCUGGUGUGAAAAACUCCGGUGGUAUGGGAUGGACCCGCGUUGGAUUAGCUAGUUGGUGGGGUAACGGCCUACCAAGGCGACGAUCCAUAGCCGGCCUGAGAGGGUGAACGGCCACAUUGGGACUGAGACACGGCCCAGACUCCUACGGGAGGCAGCAGUAGGGAAUAUUGCACAAUGGGGGAAACCCUGAUGCAGCGACGCCGCGUGAAGGAAGAAGUAUCUCGGUAUGUAAACUUCUAUCAGCAGGGAAGACAAUGACGGUACCUGACUAAGAAGCCCCGGCUAACUACGUGCCAGCAGCCGCGGUAAUACGUAGGGGGCAAGCGUUAUCCGGAUUUACUGGGUGUAAAGGGAGCGUAGACGGACGGGCAAGUCUGAAGUGAAAGGCAGGGGCUCAACCCCUGGACUGCGUUUGAAACUGCUGGUCUUGAGUACCGGAGAGGUCAUCGGAAUUCCUUGUGUAGCGGUGAAAUGCGUAGAUAUAAGGAAGAACACCAGUGGCGAAGGCGGAUGACUGGACGGCAACUGACGGUGAGGCGCGAAAGCGUGGGGAGCAAACAGGAUUAGAUACCCUGGCAGUCCACGCUGUAAACGAUCAAUACUAGGUGUGCGGGGACUGACCCCCUGCGUGCCGCAGUUAACACAAUAAGUAAUUGCACCUGGGGAGUACGAUCGCAAGGUUGAAACUCAAAAGGAAUUGACGGGGGCCCGCACAAGCGGUGGAUUAUGUGGUUUAAUUCGAAGCAACGCGAAGAACCUUACCAGGGCUUGACAUCCUACUAACGAAGUAGAGAUACAUUAGGUGCCCUUCGGGGAAAGUAGAGACAGGUGGUGCAUGGUUGUCGUCAGCUCGUGUCGUGAGAUGUUGGGUUAAGUCCCGCAACGAGCGCAACCCUUACUGUCAGUUACUACGCAAGAGGACUCUGGCAGGACUGCCGUUGACAAAACGGAGGAAGGUGGGGAUGACGUCAAAUCAUCAUGCCCUUUAUGACUUGGGCUACACACGUACUACAAUGGACAGAGCAGAGGGAAGCGAAGCCGCGAGGUGGAGCGAAACCCAUAAAACUGUUCUCAGUUCGGACUGCAGUCUGCAACUCGACUGCACGAAGAUGGAAUCGCUAGUAAUCGCGAAUCAGCAUGUCGCGGUGAAUACGUUAUCGGGCCUUGCACACACCGCCCGUCA
rnacentral:rRNA from 1 species